rnacentral:rRNA from 1 species
CCUACGGGAGGCAGCAGUGGGGAAUAUUGGGCAAUGGGCGCAAGCCUGACCCAGCAAUGCCGCGUGAAGGAAGAAGGCUUUCGGGUUGUAAACUUCUUUGACAGGGGAAGAGCAGAAGACGGUACCCUGAAAACAAGCCACGGCUAACUACGUGCCAGCAGCCGCGGUAAUACGUAGGUGGCAAGCGUUGUCCGGAUUUACUGGGUGUAAAGGGCGUGUAGCCGGGAAGGCAAGUCAGAUGUGAAAUCUGGAGGCUCAAACCCCAAAUUGCAUUUGAAACUGUUUUUCUUGAGUACUGGAGAGGCAGACGGAAUUCCUUGUGUAGCGGUGAAAUGCGUAGAUAUAAGGAGGAACACCAGUGGCGAAGGCGGUCUGCUGGACAGCGACUGACGGUGAGGCGCGAAAGCGUGGGGAGCAAACAGGAUUAGAUACCCCAGUAGUC